GAUGAACGCUGGCGGCGUGCCUAAUACAUGCAAGUCGAGCGAACGGACGAGAAGCUUGCUUUUCUGAUGUUAGCGGCGGACGGGUGAGUAACACGUGGAUAACCUACCUAUAAGACUGGGAUAACUUCGGGAAACCGGAGCUAAUACCGGAUAAUAUUUUGAACCGCAUGGUUCAAAAGUGAAAGACGGUCUUGCUGUCACUUAUAGAUGGAUCCGCGCUGCAUUAGCUAGUUGGUAAGGUAACGGCUUACCAAGGCAACGAUGCAUAGCCGACCUGAGAGGGUGAUCGGCCACACUGGAACUGAGACACGGUCCAGACUCCUACGGGAGGCAGCAGUAGGGAAUCUUCCGCAAAGGGCGAAAGCCUGACGGAGCAACGCCGCGUGAGUGAUGAAGGUCUUCGGAUCGUAAAACUCUGUUAUUAGGGAAGAACAUAUGUGUAAGUAACUGUGCACAUCUUGACGGUACCUAACCAGAAAGCCACGGCUAACUACGUG
rnacentral:rRNA from 1 species